rnacentral:tRNA from 1 species
CCUUCUUUGAUGUAGGGGUUGCAUUCCUGUUUGAAACACAGGCCGUCACCGCUCGACUCGGUGGGGAAGGACCA